ACGCUCGACACCUACGGGGGCAGCAGUGAGGAAUAUUGGUCAAUGGGCGCUAGCCUGAACCAGCCAAGUAGCGUGAAGGAUGAAGGCUCUAUGGGUCGUAAACUUCUUUUAUAUAAGAAUAAAGUGCAGUAUGUAUACUGUUUUGUAUGUAUUAUAUGAAUAAGGAUCGGCUAACUCCGUGCCAGCAGCCGCGGUAAUCUGAGCGGGCUGGCAAGGC
rnacentral:rRNA from 1 species